GAUCGAUUAGCUCAGUUGGUUAGAGCGUGGUACUAAUAUCCCACCACCUUGUGUGGUGAAUAUCAAGUAAUGCCAAGGCCGAGAGUUCGAGCCUCUCAUUGAUCA